GACGAACGCUGGCGGCGUGCUUAACACAUGCAAGUCGAACGGAAAGGCCCUGCUUUUGUGGGGUGCUCGAGUGGCGAACGGGUGAGUAACACGUGAGUAACCUGCCCUUGACUUUGGGAUAACUUCAGGAAACUGGGGCUAAUACCGGAUAGGAGCUCCUGCUGCAUGGUGGGGGUUGGAAAGUUUCGGCGGUUGGGGAUGGACUCGCGGCUUAUCAGCUUGUUGGUGGGGUAGUGGCUUACCAAGGCUUUGACGGGUAGCCGGCCUGAGAGGGUGGCCGGCCACAAUGGGGCUGGGGUACCGCCCCGAACUCCUCGGGGGGGAGCAGGUGGGGAUAUUUGAACAUGGGCGGGAGGCCGAAUGAGCAACGCCGGCUGCCGGAAUAACGCCCUUGGGUUGGAAACCGGCUUUGGCCUGUACCAAGGCGUAGGUACCGUUAUUGGUAAAAGAGGCACCGCCUACUUCCGU
rnacentral:rRNA from 1 species